rnacentral:ncRNA from 1 species
UGCGGGGGUACUCUGCUGAAGCGGAGUUGAGAGAGUCCCAUUGAACCUGAUCCGGUCAAUACCGGCGUAGGGAAGCAGAUUUCUC